rnacentral:rRNA from 1 species
CCUACGGGAGACAGCAGUGAGGAAUAUUGGUCAAUGGACGCAAGCCUGAACCAGCCAAGUAGCGUGCAGGAUGACUGCCCUACGGGUUGUAAACUGCUUUUGUACAGGAGUAAACCGCGAUACGUGUACCUUUUUGUAUGUACUUUAUGAAUAAGGAUCGGCUAACUCCGUGCCAGCAGCCGCGGUAAUACGGAGGAUCCGAGCGUUAUCCGGAUUUAUUGGGUUUAAAGGGAGCGUAGGUGGGUUGUUAAGUCAGUUGUGAAAUGUUGCGGCUCAACCGUGGAAUUGCAAUUGAUACUGGCAGUCGGGAGUAAAGGUGAGGUAGGCGGAAUGCGUGGUGUAGCGGUGAAAUGCUUAGAGAUCACGAAGAACACCGAUUGCGAAGGCAGCUUACCAAACUGCAACUGACAUUGAUGCACGAAAGUGUGGGGAUCAAACAGGAUUAGAUACCCCUGUAGUC